UCGAGAAUCUUCCACAAUGGACGAAAGUCUGAUGGAGCGACGCCGCGUGAGUGAUGAAGGCCCUACGGGUUGUAAAACUCUGUCAGGAGAGAAGAAUCGCCGGGGUGCCAAUACCAUCCUGGUUUGACGUUAUCUCCAGAGGAAGCUCCGGCUAACUCCCUGCCAGCAGCCGCGGUAAUACGGGGGGAGCAAGCGUUGUCCGGAAUUAUUGGGCGUAAAGGGCGUGUAGGCGGCCUGGUCAGUCGAAUG
rnacentral:rRNA from 1 species